UAAAGCGGGUGAAAAGCCCGCUCGCCGGAAGACCAAGGGUUCCUGUCCAACGUUAAUCGGGGCAGGGUGAGUCGACCCCUAAGGCGAGGCCGAAAGGCGUAGUCGAUGGGAAACAGGUUAAUAUUCCUGUACUUGGUGUUACUGCGAAGGGGGGACGGAGAAGGCUAUGUUGGCCGGGCGACGGUUGUCCCGGUUUAAGCGUGUAGGCUGGUUUUCCAGGCAAAUCCGGAAAAUCAAGGCUGAGGCGUGAUGACGAGGCACUACGGUGCUGAAGCAACAAAUGCCCUGCUUCCAGGAAAAGCCUCUAAGCAUCAGGUAACAUCAAAUCGUACCCCAAACCGACACAGGUGGUCAGGUAGAGAAUACCAAGGCGCUUGAGAGAACUCGGGUGAAGGAACUAGGCAAAAUGGUGCCGUAACU
rnacentral:rRNA from 1 species